CCUGAACCCUCUGUCUCGUCCAUCUGGGCAGAUGCCACUGAGGGGGCAGCUGUGGGGAGACCAGGUUCUCUCCGUCUGCCCCAGGCUGUUCCCCCAGGCUGAGUCACCUGGCCCAGCACACCCCCAGGAACGUGUCAUGUGACAUGGUGGCCAGCCUCCCAAGUGCUCGGACUACAGGGGUGUGCCACCGAAGCGGUCCUAGAUCACCCAUCUUGAAGAAGACCCAAGACCACAUAAUUCAUCCAGCUCCAGGGUAUAAGGCAGCCCUCUCUUGAGGGCCCACACUCUAUUGUGUGUACUUUAAAAAUUCUGCCUAAUAAACCUCUCUAUGCCCUCACUGAGGCAUUUGAAAAUUCUUUUUCUGUGACAGAAGGUGGCAAGCCUACAACCUAUC
rnacentral:lncRNA from 1 species